rnacentral:sRNA from 26 species
GUUUAGCCCUGAUAGUAGUGGAAAUCCUUUUCUUUUUUUCUUUAAAAAAGAAAAGAUUGUAACGGAUAGCAGGAAAUAGC